CCUACGGGAGGCAGCAGUGAGGAAUAUUGGUCAAUGGGCGGGAGCCUGAACCAGCCAAGUCGCGUGAGGGACGACGGUCCUAUGGAUUGUAAACUUCUUUUGUCGGGGAACAAAGGCGCCCACGGGUGGGCGGAUGAGUGUACCCGAAGAAAAAGCAUCGGCUAACUCGGUGCCAGCAGCCGCGGUAGAACGGGGGAUGCGAGCGUUAUCCGGAUUUCUUGGGUUUAAGGGGUGCGUAGGGGGACGGUUAGGUCAGCGGUAAAAAUGCGGUGCUCAACGCGGUACAGCCGUUGAAACUGGCAGACUUGAGUGGGCGAGAAGUAGGCGGAAUGCGUGGUGUAGCGGUGAAAUGCAUAGAUAUCACGCAGAACACCGAUUGCGAAGGCAGCUUGCCGGCGCCCAACUGACGCUGAGGCACGAAAGCGUGGGUAUCGAACAGGAUUAGAUACCCUUGUAGUC
rnacentral:rRNA from 1 species